GGGCACCACCAGGGGGUGCAGCUGCGGCUUAUUUGACUCAUCACGGGAAAUCUCACCAGGCCCGGACACCGGAAGGAUUGACAGAUUAACAGCUCUUUCUUGAUUCGGUGGGUGGUGGUGCAUGGCCGUUCUUAGUUGGUGGAGCGAUUUGUCUGGUUAAUUCCGGUAACGAACGAGACUCUAGCCUGCUAAAUAGGCGUCGCCAUUUAGGUGUGCUCGGCUUCGGUCGUGCAACUCACUGGCGACGUAUUAAAAUUCUUCUUAGAGGGACCGGCGGCUUCGAGCCGCACGAGAUUGAGCAAUAACAGGUCUGUGAUGCCCUUAGAUGUCCUGGGCCGCACGCGCGCUACAUCGAAGGAAUCA
rnacentral:rRNA from 1 species